rnacentral:rRNA from 1 species
UUUGGAAAGAGAGUUAAAAAGCACGUGAAAUUGUUAAAAGGAAAGGGAUUGCAACCAGACUUGCUCGCGGUGUUCCCCCGGUCUUCUGACCGGUCUACUCGCCGCGUUGCAGGCCAGCAUCGUCUGGUGCCGCUGGAUAAGACUUGAGGAAUGUAGCUCCCUCGGGAGUGUUAUAGCCUCUUGUGAUGCAGCGAGCGCCGGGCGAGGUCCGCGCUUCGGCUAGGAUGCUGGCGUAAUGGUCGUAAUCCGCCCGUCUUGAAACACGGACCAAGGAGUCUAACAUCUAUGCGAGUGUUCGGGUGUCAAACCCCUACGCGUAAUGAAAGUGAACGGAGGUGAGAACCGCAAGGUGCAUCAUCGACCGAUCCUGAUGUCUUCGGAUGGAUUUGAGUAAGAGCAUAGCUGUUGGGACCCGAAAGAUGGUGAACUAUGCCUGAAUAGGGUGAAGCCAGAGGAAACUCUGGUGGAGGCUCGCAGCGGUUCUGACGUGCAAAUCGAUCGUCAAAUUUGGGUAUA